GAUGUCUGUGAUGAGCCCAGUUCUUUGAGUUGCACUAUGAAACCACUCUACAUGCACUACCAUCUGAGACUC
rnacentral:snoRNA from 1 species